rnacentral:lncRNA from 1 species
GACGUCAGCGCCGCCGCGGUGAUUUAACAGCUUUUGUUUUGGGCAGAAGAACCUAUGGGCACAAAAAGCAGGAACGAGUAGCGGUGGCUGAAGAACGAGCAGGAGCUUGAAUUUCAGUUUUCUUAUGAGGAAUUUUCCAGAAAAGAUAUCUUCACUGUGAAAUAACUAAAUAAAUGCCCACUCAGUACAGUCACUGUCUCCCUUUUGGAACUUGAUGGCACCUUAAGCCCAGGUUUGCCUCCACUCUAGAAACUCAUCAGAGUGAUGCCCUUCUCAAAUGGGGGAGGUCCCAAAGCGGAUAUCCUGGCAGUGUGAAAGGCCGGCUAAAGGUUUGUGCCAAGAGGAUCUGUGGAAUGCAUCUCCUACAGCUGGUGCUGCUGAGUAACCACUCUGAUCUGGCAUCUUCUUUGAUCAAGUUACAGAGCAGAGUUUCCAGGGCUGGGGAUUGAAGUCCUGCCUCCUCCCUUUGUCUCUGGUUGUCCUCGGUAAUGUUUUUCCCUCAAGCUUUCCCUGCACUCCAAACACAGAGCUGAGACUUCCACCUAAUGUAGAAAGCUAGCACGAGCCGGCGCUGACAGAUGGAAGACUUGAGAUGUUACAAGAUUAUAUAUGGAAACACAAAAGGAGUGGAGUUGCUGGGUCAUAUGGCAAUUCAUUUGAGGAACUGAGAAGCUUAUUCCAUGGAGGCUGAACUGUUUUAUAUUCCCACCAGCAACGUGUAAGGUUCCAGUUUAUCUACAUCAUCACCAACACUUGCUAUUUUCCAUUUCAUUAAUGAUAGCCAUCCUAGUGGAUUUGAAGUGGUACCUUAUUAUCGUGGUUUUGAUUGCAUUCUCUAUUGACUAAUGAUAUCGAGCAUCUUUUCAUGUAUUUUUUGGUCAUUUGGUCAUUUUUCUUUUUUAAUUUUAAAAUUUUGAGACAGGCUCUCACUAUGUUGCCCAGGUGGUCUCAAACUCCUGGGUUCCAGCGAUGCUCAUGCCUCAGUCUCCCAAAGGGGUGGGAUUACAGGUGUGAGCCACUUUGCCCAGCCCAUUUGUAUAUCUCCUUUGGAGAAUAUCUAGGUUCUUUUGAAGGUAGCUGCAUAUAAACUAGCCAAAUUAACAGACUGUGGUUUUUAGAUGGCUUUCCAUAUCUACAAGAACUAUUUAGUUCUCAAAACUGGGAAGAAAUGUUUCAGAGGCAUCAUUAAUUCAUAAUCUAAAAAUUUAUCUUGGGUUUCCUUUUUUCCCCCAGAUUCUGUAUCCUCCAUAGUCCUAUUCAUGACAUGGGUCGUUCAUCUCUGUAUUCUAAACCCUCAAUGAACUGUAGACAGUAAUAAAUAUUUAUUGGAUGAA